rnacentral:rRNA from 1 species
UACGUAGGGCGCAAGCGUUAUCCGGAAUUAUUGGGCGUAAAGAGCUCGUAGGCGGUUUGUCGCGUCUGCCCGUGAAAAGUCCGGGGCUCAACUCCGGAUCUGCGGUGGGUACGGGCAGACUAGAGUGAUGUAGGGGAGACUGGAAUUCCUGGUGUAGCGGUGAAAUGCGUAGAUAUCGAGAGGAACACCAGUGGCGAAGGCGAGUCCCUGGACACUUCCUGACACUGAGGCACGAAAGCUAGGGGAGCAAACAGG